UCCAGACUCCUACGGGAGGCAGCAGUGGGGAAUAUUGCACAAUGGGGGAAACCCUGAUGCAGCGACGCCGCGUGAGUGAAGAAGUAUUUCGGUAUGUAAAGCUCUAUCAGCAGGGAAGAAAAUGACGGUACCUGACUAAGAAGCCCCGGCUAACUACGUGCCAGCAGCCGCGGUAAUACGUAGGGGGCAAGCGUUAUCCGGAUUUACUGGGUGUAAAGGGAGCGUAGACGGCAUGGCAAGUCAGAUGUGAAAGCCCGGGGCUCAACCCCGGGACUGCAUUUGAAACUGUCAGGCUGGAGUGCAGGAGAGGUAAGUGGAAUUCCUAGUGUAGCGGUGAAAUGCGUAGAUAUUAGGAGGAACACCAGUGGCGAAGGCGGCUUACUGGACGGCAACUGACGCUGAGGCUCGAAAGCGUGGGGAGCAAACAGGAUUAGAUACCCCCGUAU
rnacentral:rRNA from 1 species